AAAAAUAUAUCCAAAGGAUCAAUAAAACAAUAAUCACUUGCCAAAAAAGGAGACAGUUUCAGGAAACACCAAAGAAACAUGGGAGAGUGAGUGAGUGUGGGCAUCCUUAGGCAAGGCAUUCCAAAGCCCAGGCACAACCUCAGAGAAAACCUUUUCCUUUGCCCAAACUAAAAUCAUCUCACAUAUCUGCGGGACACAAAGUACAGCCUGGCUAGUUUAAUAAGCAAGCAGAGGUGAUGGGUUUCCAGGUAUCCCAGUCUUAAGCCAUUUAGGGUUUUAGAUAAUAGUAAUUGCAGUAUUUAAAAAAAAAUGUUUGAUUUGCAAACUGCAUAACAAAAUAUGGAUAAGUAGGAAAUUUGAAGAAUUGGUGUGUUUUGGUUCUCGUAUUGUUUUAGAAAGUGUGAAUUUUAUAGAUUUAACUUUAAAGUGUGCACUGAAUCAAUUUUUUUCUCCAUCCCUAUCUGUAACUGUAGUCAAGUCUGCUUUCUCUAGAAACAAGUGCAGAUGGCAAACCAAUCUAGGUUGGGUAAAAGUCCUGCUGCUACCUGGAUAUACAGGAGCAAAACCAGAUCCAGGAGAACCCUCAAGCUGUGAACCUUAAGUUUUCAAGAGGAGUGCAGCCCCAUCUGACAAAGAUCGACAGAUCUGCUAACCAGGAGCAUCUCUGUCUGCUCUUGCCUUAUCUUGUUUGGAUUAAACAUCAGUUUGCCUGCCUCCAGUCUGUUACAGACCCUCAGGCACUGAUUCCGUACAGGUGUCCUCCCACUUAUGCGGGGCUUAUGUUUCGGGCCCCCUCACGCAUUUGUGAAAUCGCAUAAAGUAGGGAGCACCCUCUAAAAAGCCUCUGAAUGCCUAUCUUUCCCUACACUCCAGCUCUCUCUCUCCAAUCCAGACCAAAAUAUCUAGAGUUGAAGCUCUGGAGGAUGCGCAGGAAAGCAGCAGCUGCUGCUGUGCUACCCCGCACACCAGCUGUUAGGCAGGAAGGCUGAGCAGCCUAAACAAAGCCCCACUGUGGCCUCAGGUCUCUUUGGGGCUUCCUCUGCCCUCACUGACAUCCUCCUUGGGCUCCAGGGAGGAUUUCCUUGUGAGCCACAAUAACUCUCCAGCUCUCUCCUGCCAUUUCAUGGUAUGAUUCUAUUUAUUUCCUGGCGCUGUGCAUAUAUGUGCGAGAGUAGAAUGCAUGAAAGUGGUAGGGCUGGGCGAUGUUAGGUUUUCAACAUCACGGUGUAUCACCAGCCAAACAUAGCUGUUUAGCGAUAUACUGCAAUGUUGAAACAAGCUGCACAGGCCCCAGCCUGCGAGGCGGCGGGUGAAACUGCCACAGCUCUCACUGUGGGAGCUGAGGCACUUUCACCCCAGCACCUCACAGGCACCCCAGCUAGCCCCGGCCCGCUACUCUGCUGGGGGGCAGGAAGACUCCUGCCACCCCCACCUCCCUGCUGAGCAAGCCGCGGUGUCCCUGCUGCUUGUGUAUGAGCGUUAGGGACAUUGGGGCUCCCUUGCGAGACUCAGCGGGCGGGAAAGCUCCCAUCCCCCAACUGAGUGAGCCCGCCAACUCCCCAAGAUGGAGGGAUUCCUGCGACAGAGCCUGACAGUCUCCGUUUACAGGACUCCCUCCACCUUCUCCAACGCAACGGGGCGGGCGAGCAACCUCUUUCUUCUGGAGCUCACCCCUGCCCCCCAGGUAGAGCAAGCCCCCUGUCCCUCCAGCGUGUGGACAAGCUGGAGGGAUGGGGGGCCUUCUUUGUGCUCCUCAGCCGGGGGGAGAGAAGGCUUCCCCCCAGCUGAGGGAGCCCUGAUCCUUCUGCUCUUGCGCACAAACAGGAGAAGGAUCGGUGCUGCCCAGCUGGGGGAGCCCCGAUGCCUCUCUAGCUUGCAUCCAAAACAUGAGAAGAAAUGAUAGGGGGCAGGGGCACUUUAACCCCACCCUGUGCAAGCUGGUGGCAGGUUGGGGGCUCCAUAAAAUUGCUUGGCUGAGGCAAGGGCAGCUGCGCACUCCUCAGCUGAGCAGUUUAAAUAAGCGGAGGGAGGAACAAGCUGUAUCAGCACCUCACUGACGCAGCUUGUUUCUCCCUCUGCAGUGGUGUGAGGGCAGACCAUGAUGGCAGUUUUACUCAUAGGCAAAUUGCUGGUGAAACCGCCACCGCUCCUGAGUCCCUCUGCCUCCAGCUCCCAGCUGCAGCGUGUUUCACCCUCAGCACACUGAGCGCUGGUCGCAGAGGGACUCUGGAGGUGGCGGUUUCACCCGUGAUAUACUGCUGAGUGAAGCCGUCAUCGCAGUCUGCCCCUCAUAUUGAUAUAUUGCCCAGGCUUAAUGGGGGAUGCCUGUACUUCACUGGCCUUCCGGGAAAAGAGAAUUUGAAUUUGGUGCCAUCAGUGAUUUUACACUGAAGUAUUUAAUACAUUUGUUAAAUUUAUAAACGGCAUGUAUCCCACAGUAAGUCACCAUAAGAUAAAUGCUUAUCUUAAACAUAUAGUUUAAACAUAAUUCCUACAUAUAGAGAGCAUAAUAUUUGCUCUUGGAUGCAUUGUGGGAGUGAGGAUAUGACAAAUACUUUAUCUAUGUUUUAAUCAUGGGAUCUCUCAGUUUUAAAAUAGACCUGUUAAACAGUUGCAGAAUAGAGAAACAGUAUUUUAAGCUAUCAUGUUCUAAAUUAUUACUAAUACAGUGGAACCUCGGCUGUUGAACGUAAUCCGUUCUGGAAGACCGUUCGACUUCCGAAACGUUCAACAACCGAAGCGCAAUGGGCGGUUGGCCAUUUCAGUGGAGAAAAUGGAGAAAUGUACCUUGGAAGCCAUUCGACUUCCGAGGCACGUUCAAAAACAGAAGCAAUUACUUCUGGGUUUUUGGCGUUCGAAAACUGAAACGUUCGGCUUCUGAAACACUCGAAAACCGAGGUUCCACUGUACUUCAUGUUAUACCUGAAGCUCUUUGGCCCUGGAAGCCAGUGCUAAAGUGGUCACUCCUACCAUGUAUCAGGGCCUACCUGCUCUGUAGAUAAUAGAGCACUGUUCUCUAGGCCCCACCAGGCACUAGAAUAAUUUCUAUGUAAAACCUCUUCUUUUUAUUUAAACUGUGUUAGCAGCCACAAUCCUGCUUUUGUGCUGUUCUUUUCAGCUAAUUAGGGAGCCUCUGCCAGCUUGUUGUCCAUCGCGAGGAGUUCACUCCUUGUUGCUAGGGCACACUGACAUGCACCAGUGGUACUAGUUUCAAAGAGAUGUGGGGGACUGUAGAGAGAAAGGGCUGAUCAAACAAAAUGUGUUCUUUUUUCUUUUUUUUAAUCCAUCCUUUUUGGCAAGGCUGAAAAGUUUGCAAUGGAGGAAAAAAACCUGGGUGAAUGAUAAGGCCUUAAAAAGCUCAUUAAUUUGAGGCAAGCUAAGCUAUGCUGGCGAGUUAUCUUAUCCUUCCUCAAAAUAGACUUUUAUCAAAAUGGGAGAGCAAGGACCUAAAAGGGUUUGUGCCUUAAAAAAACUAAUUAGUUCCUAAGGAUUUUGUUGUUGCUAGUAAUAUUAUUGUGUGGGCGGGUGUUUAAAGAUAGAGCUGUAGCCUGUUGAAAGUGCUGUCCCUGCACAGCGACCAGCAGUGUCCUAACUUACUUUUUGUCUUAUAGCCUGGUCUAGAUUCUAGCCACUUCAUGAGCCAAUGUCAUCACAUUCUGUUAGCAUGUUUCAUUAUUGCUAAUUUCACAUGCUCAUAAAGCACAUGCUAAACCCCCUCAAUAUUUGGACAUCUAACUGCUGUAGUGCUUUUGACUUUCCCCCACCCCCAUAACAAGAAGAAAAGGCCCUGUGAUUUAAAUCUUGUUUAAAUCACCACCUUUAUAGGGAUUCUGCUGUAACCCAAUUCUGACACAUGGGUCUCUUGUCCUCAUGCCAAAACUCCAAGUCCUCAGAGAAAGGGUGGAUACCAGUAUAAAUGACUGAGGACUGCUUCUCAGUCCAUUUGGGACUCAUUUUUCAUGAGUGGUGAAUUAUUUAUUGUCACAGUGAAUUGAAAAAUGGAGGGAGUGUUAAAUUGACCCCUGGGGAUUCCACCGUUAACACAAACCACAGCUUUCUCACACACCAUAGCUACAAAUAAUUGUUGCUGAUGCAUUUUCAGUCCUGUGCUAAACUGGAAAUUGGGCCCAAGUCCAAUGUCGAGAGCUUGGAGGAUUACUUCAUUAUCUUUUAUGAGGAAAGGGAAGAAAAUAUGGCAAAAGGCAAAAAACUGAUAUGGUGUGUGGUGAAAGAGCUGCGAUUGGUUAGCAGCUGCAGGAAGGCUUGACUUAAAAUGGGGCCAUGGCUCUAGGGGAAGGUGGGCAAUCUAUGCCUACGUCAUCCAUGGCACCAUGCCCAAGACAGAGCCAGGUAGCUCAGUGGUUGUGUGGUACAGAAACAAAAACAUGAGGUGGUGAUAGUAGGCCGCGGAGUUAGCCAAAACUGUAAGUGGUCACCCCAGGACAGUAGCAUUUGGGCAGGAACUGGGCAGGCUUCAGCAACUGGGUGAGGAGCUACAGAUAGGGGUAGGGAAGUGGAGGGGGGGAACAAGACACAGUGAAGAGAACCCAUUGAUAUUUAUGCUGUAGAGCUGUGCCCCCACCAUGUCAACAGGGGAAGUAAUGCUUCGUUUUCCCAUGUGCUGUUUCUAUUUCUUAAAUUAGACUCCUGGGCUGCUAUUAGCUAGGGGAGAAGAAGACAGAUAGAAUACAAAUACCUGACUUUCUUCCUCUUAGUAGGUUUUGGGGGUGAUUUAAAUUGGGGAAACAGUAGGGUUGCCAUAUUGCAUAUUUGGGGCAAAUUUGUUGAGCUCUUUUGGCAAAAUCUCGAAAAUGUUUUGGAGGCAUUUUUUGGCAAAGUUGCAAAAAAACCCUACAUUUCCUUUUUUUAAAAAAUAUUUUUUAUUAGUUUUCAUCAAGAAAAAUACAUAUUGCACUACAUUACAACUUUAACAAAUUUUCUCAUUUUUGGACUUCCUUCAGCCUCUCUGACAGUCAUCCAAAUUAAACUUUUUAAUUACACAUUUCCUAAAUUUGCUAUUGCCUUUUAACUUACCCUUCCACAUCUGUUUUUCUUUUUUGCAAUAUUUCUUAGGUUUUUACAGAGCUUCUUUAAAUGCCACUAACGUUAUUUCAUUAUCACUUAUACAUUCCCAAUACUCUACUAACUUUCCCCAGUCCUCGAUAAACUUUUGAUCUCGUAGAUAUCUAAUCUUCCCUGUCAGUUUAUCAAGUUCUGCAUAGUCCAUCAGCUUCAUUCUCCACUCCUCCAAUGUUGGUACUUGUUCUUGUUUCCAUUUCUGGGCCAGUAAUAUUCUAGCCGCUGUUACUGCAUAUUGGAAAAGUUUACAAUCCUUUCUAUUUAUUUCAUUUCCUGUAAUUCCUAAGAGAAAGGCCUCUGGUUUCUUAACGAAUGUAUAUUUCAACAUUUUGUUCAAUUCAUUGUAUAUCAAUUCCCAGAAGCUCUUCACUUUCUUACAUUCCCACCACAUAUGAUAGAAAGUACCAUCCUUUUCAUUACAUUUCCAACAUUUCUUGCAUGUUUUAUACAUUUUUGCAAGUUUUACUGGUGUAAUAUACCAUCUGUAAAUCAUUUUCAUAACAUUUUCCUUUAAUGCAGUACAUGCAGUAAAUUUAAUAUUUUUGUUCCAUAGUUUAAUCAAAUCAUUAAAUUGUAUAUUAUAACCAAAAUCUCUGGCCCAUUGUAUCAUUACAGAUUUAACUUCUUCAUCCUUUGUAUGCCAUUCCAGCAAUAUCUUAUACAUUUUAGAUAGAAUUUUAUAUUCAUUAUUUAUUAUUUCUAUUUGAAAUUUUGAAUCUUUCUCUACGAAUCCAUAUUCCUUAAGAUCUUUUUUAAACAUUUCAUUUAUUUGAAAAUAAUGCAACCAAUCAUAUACAAACUCUUUUACUUCUUCAUAUGGUUUCAUUUUCCAUUUCCCCCCUUCCUUAACAAUCAGAUUCCCAUAUGUAAUCCAAUUCCUUCUCAUAUUGAUUUUUUUAACACUCAUAACCUCUAAUGUAGACAACCAGUGCGGAGUUUUUGGUUCAAGUAGGCUUUUAUACCUAUCCCAUAUUUCUAUCAACGAUCUUCGGAAAAUGUGGUUCUCAAAGCCUUUAUGGAUUUUCUUCUUUUCAGACCAUAAAUAUGCGUGCCACCCAAAUCUAUUAUCAAAUCCUUCUAUAUCUAACAACUCUGUAUUUUCUAAUUUUACCCAUUCCUUUAACCAACAGAGACAUGAAGCUUCAUAAUAUAAUUUCAGGUCUGGCAAAGUCGCAAAAAACCCCUACAUUUCCAACAUGGGUUUCCAUACGCCCAGGUUUCCCCGGACAACUUGGAUGAUUUUUAGAAAUUCCGCCCAGAUGCUAUUUCGGGUGGAUGAAUCCCAGCUAUGUCCAGGAAAUUCCAAACGUAUGUCAGCCCAAGGAAACAGCAUGGUAGGGAAAGCUUUCUCCUAGUACUGCAGCUCUGAUCCAACUCCCUUUUCCUGGCAGCUGCUUUUAAGUGAACACCAAGACGUCAGGAGAUCAAAUCCUGCACCUCACAUCUUUGGUCCCAACAAAAUAAAUGUACUAAAAAGAGUGGGGAGGGGAGGGAGAGUAAGUGAGAAGCUUCUAAAACAUGGUCUGUUGUCUGCAGCUCCUGAAGGAAGCCCACACAAAGAGAGGAUGCUUUUUAGGGGUUCUGUCUGCUUUUGACAGUUUUUAAUGGCACCAUCUCCCUCUGAGCAAACAGGAGUUUGGGCCUGGGGCCUGCCAUGGACCCCUGAUAGGGAUCUAUUCAGUAUUUAUCUCUUGACACUCAGCACCCAUUCACCUGUAGCUGUACACAAGUCAUCAGCAGCAGCCACUACCCUUCUCUUCCUAGUCACGGGGUCCUAGUUCUCAGCUCCUCCAAGAAUUUCAUUCCAUGUUCAAACAAAGCAAGAAGCAAGUUGUGCAGGUGAACUGUAGAGGUGUCUGCCUUCUCAUGGAAUGCAGAGUGUUAUUUACAUUCAACAGAUGUUUUAAGUUCAGAUCUUUAAAUAGACAGCCCCUCCUUUUCGUUAAUCCCUUCUCCCUUCUCUGCUCCUAUAGUUUACCCCAAGCCAUAGGAACAAACAGUGUCCCUUGUUGCAUGAGGAGGACAGGAUUUUCCACAUGGCAGCUCAGCCUGAGAACAGUGCCUGAAUGUUUGAUCUCAUUCAGGUAUCAGACAUCCCUCCGCAGGCUGCUGUAAAGCAAUCCGUUCCAGCUGAAGGCUUUUCUCUGAAGGAGGAUCAGUUGUUAGAAGAGACAAGCUGAAGCAGGGAGCUGGAAAUUCCAGGAGAGAAAAGACGCCACAUGCUAAGGAUUCUUUACUUCCUUCAUGUGUACACACACACACACACACACAGAGAGAGAGAGAGAGAGAGAGAGAGAGAGAGAGAGAGUUAUGAAACCCACCAGCUUGCCUACCACACAGUUUAUCCAUAUGAUCAGUCACGGACCAAUUUUCAAAAUUAAGUUCUUAAUUUUAUGUUACAGCUCAUGGCCAAAUUACAAGUGGCACUGAGUCACAUGUAGUUGCCCCUGCUAGCUUGGAGUUUUCUUUAGGAAAAGCAACCAUGGGGGCUGGACAGAAGAACAGAAGAAGGAAUUGUGUGUGUGGACGGGGUCAUGUUUAAGUUUUCCUUUCUUGUUAUUUUCCAGAAUGAAUGUCAAACCUCCCCCCAUCUGCUUUCUCCCUCACAGGAGAAAAGAUACGGAUUCCUGCCCUUCUCCAUCUCUCAUUCCCUUGUAAAGUCUAAUUCAAACAAUCACCGCACUGUGUCUCUUGCCAUCCAACAAUGGGAGGUGGAAGAGGGAAAAUGCACAACACAGCUGAUUUCAGUGUAAUUCACACUAGAAAAGAGAUAGAAAGCAAUCAGCGUCAGCUCUGUCUUUCUUAAAAUAUUUAAUCUGGCCUUUAGUAUACAUGCAUUCUGCCUUUUUACGCAAAACAGGUUUGUUUUAGGGUGGUAGGG